rnacentral:lncRNA from 1 species
CGAUAAACACCAUCUUUCGGUGAUUCCCAGUCAUGCGUAAGUGUCUGGUCUUCUUUGAUGUCUGUAAACAUCAUCUUUCGAUGUUCGUAGCGUCGUCCCUCCCCUAGUGAAGUUUCCUCCUCUCCGUUGGUGUCGAUAAACGUCGUGUUUUUCCUAGUCAUCCGGUGAUGUCUAGUUGUGCCAUUCCCCAUGUGGACUUACCUCUCCGUUGGUUUCGAUAAACGACGAGUUUUUCCCAUUCGUCCGUUGACGUCUGGUUGUGUUUCU